GAUUAAGUUAUUAAGGGCGCACGGUGGAUGCCUUGGCACUAGAAGCCGAUGAAGGACGUUACUAACGACGAUAUGCUUUGGGGAGCUGUAAGUAAGCUUUGAUCCAGAGAUUUCCGAAUGGGGAAACCCAGCAUGAGUUAUGUCAUGUUAUCGAUAUGUGAAUACAUAGCAUAUCAGAAGGCACACCCGGAGAACUGAAACAUCUUAGUACCCGGAGGAAGAGAAAGAAAAUUCGAUUCCCUUAGUAGCGGCGAGCGAAACGGGAAGAGCCCAAACCAACAAGCUUGCUUGUUGGGGUUGUAGGACACUCUAUACGGAGUUACAAAGGACGACAUUAGACGAAUCAUCUGGAAAGAUGAAUCAAAGAAGGUAAUAAUCCUGUAGUCGAAAAUGUUGUCUCUCUUGAGUGGAUCCUGAGUACGACGGAGCACGUGAAAUUCCGUCGGAAUCUGGGAGGACCAUCUCCUAAGGCUAAAUACUCUCUAGUGACGAUAGUGAACCAGUACCGUGAGGGAAAGGUGAAAAGCACCCCGGAAGGGGAGUGAAAUAGAACCUGAAACCGUGUGCUUACAAGUAGUCAGAGCCCGUUAAUGGGUGAUGGCGUGCCUUUUGUAGAAUGAACCGGCGAGUUACGAUUUGAUGCAAGGUUAAGCAGUAAAUGUGGAGCCGUAGCGAAAGCGAGUCUGAAUAGGGCGUUUAGUAUUUGGUCGUAGACCCGAAACCAGGUGAUCUACCCUUGGUCAGGUUGAAGUUCAGGUAACACUGAAUGGAGGACCGAACCGACUUACGUUGAAAAGUGAGCGGAUGAACUGAGGGUAGCGGAGAAAUUCCAAUCGAACCUGGAGAUAGCUGGUUCUCUCCGAAAUAGCUUUAGGGCUAGCCUCAAGUGAUGAUUAUUGGAGGUAGAGCACUGUUUGGACGAGGGGCCCCUCUCGGGUUACCGAAUUCAGACAAACUCCGAAUGCCAAUUAAUUUAACUUGGGAGUCAGAACAUGGGUGAUAAGGUCCGUGUUCGAAAGGGAAACAGCCCAGACCACCAGCUAAGGUCCCAAAAUAUAUGUUAAGUGGAAAAGGAUGUGGCGUUGCCCAGACAACUAGGAUGUUGGCUUAGAAGCAGCCAUCAUUUAAAGAGUGCGUAAUAGCUCACUAGUCGAGUGACACUGCGCCGAAAAUGUACCGGGGCUAAACAUAUUACCGAAGCUGUGGAUUGUCCUUUGGACAAUGGUAGGAGAGCGUUCUAAGGGCGUUGAAGCAUGAUCGUAAGGACAUGUGGACGCUUAGAAGUGAGAAUGCCGGUGUGAGUAGCGAAAGACGGGUGAGAAUCCCGUCCACCGAUUGACUAAGGUUUCCAGAGGAAGGCUCGUCCGCUCUGGGUUAGUCGGGUCCUAAGCUGAGGCCGACAGGCGUAGGCGAUGGAUAACAGGUUGAUAUUCCUGUACCACCUAUAAUCGUUUUAAUCGAUGGGGGGACGCAGUAGGAUAGGCGAAGCGUGCGAUUGGAUUGCACGUCUAAGCAGUAAGGCUGAGUAUUAGGCAAAUCCGGUACUCGUUAAGGCUGAGCUGUGAUGGGGAGAAGACAUUGUGUCUUCGAGUCGUUGAUUUCACACUGCCGAGAAAAGCCUCUAGAUAGAAAAUAGGUGCCCGUACCGCAAACCGACACAGGUAGUCAAGAUGAGAAUUCUAAGGUGAGCGAGCGAACUCUCGUUAAGGAACUCGGCAAAAUGACCCCGUAACUUCGGGAGAAGGGGUGCUCUUUAGGGUUAACGCCCAGAAGAGCCGCAGUGAAUAGGCCCAAGCGACUGUUUAUCAAAAACACAGGUCUCUGCUAAACCGUAAGGUGAUGUAUAGGGGCUGACGCCUGCCCGGUGCUGGAAGGUUAAGAGGAGUGGUUAGCUUCUGCGAAGCUACGAAUCGAAGCCCCAGUAAACGGCGGCCGUAACUAUAACGGUCCUAAGGUAGCGAAAUUCCUUGUCGGGUAAGUUCCGACCCGCACGAAAGGCGUAACGAUUUGGGCACUGUCUCAACGAGAGACUCGGUGAAAUCAUAGUACCUGUGAAGAUGCAGGUUACCCGCGACAGGACGGAAAGACCCCGUGGAGCUUUACUGUAGCCUGAUAUUGAAAUUCGGCACAGCUUGUACAGGAUAGGUAGGAGCCUUUGAAACGUGAGCGCUAGCUUACGUGGAGGCGCUGGUGGGAUACUACCCUAGCUGUGUUGGCUUUCUAACCCGCACCACUUAUCGUGGUGGGAGACAGUGUCAGGCGGGCAGUUUGACUGGGGCGGUCGCCUCCUAAAAGGUAACGGAGGCGCUCAAAGGUUCCCUCAGAAUGGUUGGAAAUCAUUCAUAGAGUGUAAAGGCAUAAGGGAGCUUGACUGCGAGACCUACAAGUCGAGCAGGGUCGAAAGACGGACUUAGUGAUCCGGUGGUUCCGCAUGGAAGGGCCAUCGCUCAACGGAUAAAAGCUACCCCGGGGAUAACAGGCUUAUCUCCCCCAAGAGUUCACAUCGACGGGGAGGUUUGGCACCUCGAUGUCGGCUCAUCGCAUCCUGGGGCUGUAGUCGGUCCCAAGGGUUGGGCUGUUCGCCCAUUAAAGCGGUACGCGAGCUGGGUUCAGAACGUCGUGAGACAGUUCGGUCCCUAUCCGUCGUGGGCGUAGGAAAUUUGUAGAGGAGCUGUCCUUAGUACGAGAGGACCGGGAUGGACAUACCUCUGGUGUACCAAGUUGUCGUGCCAACGGCAUAGCUGGGUAGCUAUGUGUGGACGGGAUAAGUGCUGAAAGCAUCUAAGCAUGAAGCCCCCCUCAAGAUGAGAUUUCCCAACUUCGGUUAUAAGAUCCCUCAAAGAUGAUGAGGUUAAUAGGUUCGAGGUGGAAGCAUGGUGACAUGUGGAGCUGACGAAUACUAAUCGAUCGAAGACUUAAUCAA
rnacentral:rRNA from 1 species